UACGAAGGGGGCUAGCGUUGUUCGGAAUUACUGGGCGUAAAGCGCACGUAGGCGGACAUUUAAGUCAGGGGUGAAAUCCCAGAGCUCAACUCUGGAACUGCCUUUGAUACUGGGUGUCUUGAGUAUGGAAGAGGUGAGUGGAAUUCCGAGUGUAGAGGUGAAAUCCGUAGAUAUUCGGAGGAACACCAGUGGCGAAGGCGGCUCACUGGUCCAUUACUGACGCUGAGGUGCGAAAGCGUGGGGAGCAAACAGG
rnacentral:rRNA from 1 species